rnacentral:lncRNA from 1 species
GCUGUUGCCACCUUUUGAUAAUUAUCCCUAUGAUAAGCAUUUUUGGGACUUUUGUUCCAGUUGACACAAAAACCAAAGUGUAGGAAACAUCCAAAAUCCAGUUAUCCAAAGGAAAAAGCACUAGGUCUGUUUUAUUAGACACACAUUUGACACAGGGCAGGCAUAUCAAAAUCAAUCAAUGGUGGGUGUCAAAUAGUUAUAUUAUGAAAUUCACUCUUUAGGUGGUUAUCCUAUUAAACUUAAAUUAGAGAAUGGAAACGAAAAAUUCAGCAUUUUUUUUCCAUUUGUAAAGGGGCACAACUCUAGAAUGGUUAAGUGGUUGGUGGUCUACACCAUCAUAAUUCAAACUUGAUCUGUGUUUUGUAGUAGUAAGCAUUGUGUUAAAGUUUCAAAAAAUUUGGUAGAGGUAAACUAAAGUUAGAGAAAGGAUACCAACUAUGUGACGUACAGAUGGACAAGGGUAAAACUUAAUGCCACCUCAUUUAUAGCUGGGUAUAAAAAUAAGAAUUGUUUUGCUAAAUAUCUCAAAUCAUGCUGGGACUAUUAAUUGGGACCUUUACACCUUUGAAAAUGAAAAAAAUAGUCCCAAGUUUUUCCGAAAGCCAAGCAGUGGGUAUGGUUCUGAUGAAGCCUACAAUUAGCUUCAAGGCUGGGCCUUUUCUGAUGCCUCAAAAAAGUGUAGCUGAGGAAGGACAUGAUAUUUGUCCAUCUACAGAAACAAUAUUUAAAUGUUUUUCAUAUUAACAGACAAACAACAUAUCAUUCCAAUUUGCAAUAUGUGUUUAUCUUCAGACAAUUGAAAUUGAACACAACAUUGUUUGACAUAUUACUUAGUAAUUUUAGAAUUUUAGAAAAGAAGAUUUCUGAA